rnacentral:rRNA from 1 species
GACAGAGGGUGCAAACGUUGUUCGGAUUUACUGGGCGUAAAGCGUGUGUAGGCGGCUUGGCAAGUUGGAUGUGAAAGCCCACGGCUCAACCGUGGAAGCGCAUCCAAAACUGCUUCGCUCGAGUCUCGGAGAGGAAGGUGGAAUGCUUGGUGUAGAGGUGAAAUUCGUAGAUAUUGGGAAGAACACCCGUGGCGAAGGCGGCUCUCUGGGACGGUACUGACGCUGAGACGCGAAAGCGUGGGGAGCGAACAGG